GCCGGCGUAGCUCAGUAGGUAGAGCAGCUGAUUCGUAAUCAGCAGGUCAGCGGUUCGACUCCGCUCGCCGGCU
rnacentral:tRNA from 1 species